UACGAAGGGGGCUAGCGUUGCUCGGAAUUACUGGGCGUAAAGGGCGCGUAGGCGGCACUGUUAGUCAGGCGUGAAAGUCCUGGGCUCAACCUGGGAACUGCGCUUGAUACGGCAGAGCUAGAGGAUGGAAGAGGCUCGCGGAAUUCCCAGUGUAGAGGUGAAAUUCGUAGAUAUUCGGAAGAACACCAGUGGCGAAGGCGGCUCACUGGUCCGGUACUGACGCUGAGGUGCGAAAGCGUGGGGAGCAAACAGG
rnacentral:rRNA from 1 species